UGUCGGAAUGGAGUCAGCCC
rnacentral:miRNA from 1 species